CAGUCUGCAACUCGACUGCAUGAAGCUGGAAUCGCUAGUAAUCGCGAAUCAGAAUGUCGCGGUGAAUACGUUCCCGGGCCUUGUACACACCGCCCGUCACACCAUGGGAGUCGGAAAUGCCCGAAGCCGGUGACCAAACCAAUAAGGAAGGAGCCGUCGAAGGCAGGUCUGAUAACUGGGGUGAAGUCGUAACAAGGUAGC
rnacentral:rRNA from 1 species